rnacentral:rRNA from 1 species
GCAACACCGCGUGAGUGAAGAAGGGUUUCGGCUCGUAAAGCUCUGUUGUUAAAGAAGAACACGUAUGAGAGUAACUGUUCAUACGUUGACGGUAUUUAACCAGAAAGUCACGGCUAACUACGUGCCAGCAGCCGCGGUAAUACGUAGGUGGCAAGCGUUAUCCGGAUUUAUUGGGCGUAAAGAGAGUGCAGGCGGUUUUCUAAGUCUGAUGUGAAAGCCUUCGGCUUAACCGGAGAAGUGCAUCGGAAACUGGAUAACUUGAGUGCAGAAGAGGGUAGUGGAACUCCAUGUGUAGCGGUGGAAUGCGUAGAUAUAUGGAAGAACACCAGUGGCGAAGGCGGCUACCUGGUCUGCAACUGACGCUGAGACUCGAAAGCAUGGGUAGCGAACAGGAUUAGAUACCCUGGUAGUCCAUGCCGUAAACGAUGAGUGCUAGGUGUUGGAGGGUUUCCGCCCUUCAGUGCCGGAGCUAACGCAUUAAGCACUCCGCCUGGGGAGUACGACCGCAAGGUUGAAACUCAAAGGAAUUGACGGGGGCCCGCACAAGCGGUGGAGCAUGUGGUUUAAUUCGAAGCUACGCGAAGAACCUUACCAGGUCUUGACAUCUUGCGCCAACCCUAGAGAUAGGGCGUUUCCUUCGGGAACGCAAUGACAGGUGGUGCAUGGUYGUCGUCAGCUCGUGUCGUGAGAUGUUGGGUUAAGUCCCGCAACGAGCGCAACCCUUGUUACUAGUUGCCAGCAUUAAGUUGGGCACUCUAGUGAGACUGCCGGUGACAAACCGGAGGAAGGUGGGGACGACGUCAGAUCAUCAUGCCCCUUAUGACCUGGGCUACACACGUGCUACAAUGGACGGUACAACGAGUCGCGAACUCGCGAGGGCAAGCAAAUCUCUUAAAACCGUUCUCAGUUCGGACUGCAGGCUGCAACUCGCCUGCACGAAGUCGGAAUCGCUAGUAAUCGCGGAUCAGCAUGCCGCGGUGAAUACGUUCCCGGGCCUUG